CACACGAUGUCGAUUGAGGAUGGCAGUAAAAAUUUAGGUCUUCAGACUUUGAAAUUUCGCUGCUGAUUCUUUAGAUCUUAAGUAUGUUGAAGAAAACCUGAUUUGAGAGAAGCACUGUACCACACUCUGGAAAGCAUUUUGUGGAGGAGCAUGAUGUUGCCUUUUGUUUGGUUACCAGCCUCAUUUCAUUUCUGCUUGUUAACUACACAGCGUUUUUUCUCGAAGAUUGAAUCCAUUAAAGUCUCCAGUAUGUUCUUCAUAGGGGUGUGUUGACAAGGAUAUCAUUUUGUGAAAGUAAACACAUCACGAGCAAGGUUCAGUUUAGAGAUCGACAGCCUUCAGCUACUUAACAUCUAGCUCAUGGUCAACUUGAAGCACAAAAUUUCUGUUAUUGAUUCUUCCCAAAUGCCUAUGUAAUAUGGAAUGCUUGACAGUCAAACGGAAUGCUUGUAAUGCAUACAAAAUGUGUGACAUGGGGGAAAAGCCUGGCAGAAUGUGUAGGGUUCGGAAAUCAGAGGUAGUAGCCGGUUAUUUUGAUAAACCUUCAAUUGAAUUUCGUUCUCUUUGUCUUACGUGUUAUGAAAUGACUACGUAAAGGAUUUCGCCAUCCAGGUCAUGUGAAUACCCUGCCAUAUAGCCCCUUGGUACAUGAUGAAUCGAGGAUUCUCCAUUGACGUACAAGACGUUACACCUGCAAAAUACUGUUGACAGAAGAACUGGUAGGUUUGGACAAUGGUUAACGGCAAAUGCGAUGAAUGGAUCACCACAGGUCAGUUGUCUUGCCUUCCCAGUUGUAAUGAAGGCGAAUCGUCGGAGUGAAAACCAUUAAGAGAAGUUGCUGGAAUUCAUGUCAUCCUUGAAAAGAUUGCUAAAAGAAAAGAGCUGCAUCCAUGAAACAGCUCAUUACUCCUGCCCCAAACGAAUGCCUGCGUCAGCCUUCAAGCUUUAAUGGCUAAAAAGGAUUUGAUAGAUUAGAAAAUCGCAGUUUGCACUUCCUAAGGCGACAUUCCUAAAUCCCACCUGUCAAGAGAUCUGUGUCCAACCGUUUCAACCAUGAACUGACGCCCACCGAAUUCUUUUUCAUAAAAUGGCGGGGGGGGGGGGGGAGGUAUGAGGUUUUAGUGGAAAUUGCCGUCAAGACUGCCGAGAUCAGGUGCAAGGAACUACUAAUCGGAAAGUACUUGGAAGACCUCUGUGGCCAACAGGAAGGGUCUUACAAACGUUCGUAUUCAAGUUUUUGCUGCGGUGAACACAUGCAAUUGCAUGGCCUUUCAGAAGCUCCUGCCAGGAAUCAUACAGGAAUGUGCCAGAUGAUUUUAUG